ensembl:lincRNA Gm14015 predicted gene 14015
AGUUACUUCUUCUGGCCAAAGAAUUCAAAACUACUGGGCUGAGGUGUCACAGACUGAUAAAAAUCAGACAUGACAAAGGGAGACCCCUUGAAGACCUUGAUUAUGGACAAGAAGGAGAUCGAGGAGAUCAACAAGAUAGCCGGUGAGCCAAGAGCAGGCAGGCCAAAAGCAAAAGCUUCCUUCUUCCAUGGACUUCCGUAAGCUUCCAGCAGAAAGGUGUGGACCAGACUAGCCGUGGGGUUUCCCAGCUCCAAAGAUCUGGAUUAGAGUUAAGUCCAGCUGGAGCCAGGUUGGCAAGAGGAGCCACGCAGUCCUAGCACACACUGAUGAUUCCUUUCACAUGGAACCAUUCCUGUCUACAGUGUGUCUCACACCUGAUGCCACAAUGUCUACACUUAAUAACCAUGUACCAAAUGAAUUGUGCCUGAAGAGGAGAGGUGCUUCAGAUGGCUGUAAGAAAGUCUCAGUGUAAGGUCCCUGUGACACGUUGCCUUUGACGCCUUUGGUUAAAGUCCCAAGAAUAGUAUAGCUGGUAGAACUCUCUUUAGUUUCCUGGUUUCCCUUCAGCAAAACUCCCUAUCCCAUCCCCCUCCUCCUGCUUCUAUGAGGGUGCUCCCCCACCCACCCAUAUCCUCCUGUCUCACCACACUAGCAUUCCCUGGACACUGGGGCAUUGAACCUUCACAGGACCAAGGGCCUCCACUCCCAUUAAUACUAGAUAAGGCCAUCCUCUGCUACAUAUGCAGCUGAAGCCAUGGGAACUCUUAUAAAAGAAAACAUUUAAUUAGGGCUGACUUACAGUUCAGAAGUUUAGUCCAUUGUCAUCAUGGAGGGAAGCAUGGCAGCAUGCAGGCAGACAUGGUGCUGGAGAGGAGCUGAGAGGUAGAUCUAAUUCUAAAUUGGCAGGCAGCAGAAAAAGAGAGUGGCCCUGACUUGAGCAUCUAAGACCUCAAAAGCCCACCCCCUGUGACACACUUCUUCAAACAAGGCCACACCUCCAAUAAUGCCACUUCCUGUGAGUCUCUGGGGCCUAUUUUCAUUCAAACCAUUACACUUCAGGAAGAAUGUUGACCCUGUACAAAUUCAGCAGUCAAUAAAGCAACAGAGUGUGCCCAUUUUGGAGACAUCAAGGAAAGCUGCAUCUUUCUUCAUGGCUUUCGGUACUUGAAUUUCUACCAGAUGGAAUUUUUUUAUUCUAUAGCAGCAGGAUUUCCUAGAGCCACUAACAGCAGGAAAUCUGAAUUUACAAACACUAAACUAGAAGCAAUGUAAAAGUGAUUACCUAUAUUGGUUGGAAGACAUGAAUGAUGAUGGGUGUUUAGACUUCCUGAAAGCUGUAGGGCAUGUCGAAGAAACCUCCUGCAGGUCUUGUUUGCUGGUAUUCCCAUCUUAGAAUGCUUUCUUCUCAAAGUGAGCCAGGCUUAGUAGGUGUGACAAGGGAUAGUGUAGACUUGUCUAUGCUGUCUCCAGACUUUGCGAGUAAGGUACUGACUGCAUUGCUUCAGGAAGCAUUGCAAUGUCCUAUGUAUUCUCGUGGGUUCCAUGUUCAUCACUCUAGGGAAGGUUGUAUGUGAGUUGUAUGUGAGUCACUGAGGAAAACCCAUUGAGAGAAACUGAGGCAGCACCAAUUUGCCAGCCAUGUGAGCCAGCCAUCUUGCAAACAUCCCCUUCUGACUCAACGUGCUGAGAGAUUCCACAGGACAACUGGCCAUCCAACUUGCUGCCAAAUUCACAGACCACAGACACAAUUAAAAAUGUCAAAUAUUUCUUGUCAUGGCAGUGAGCUUUGGGAUAAUCUGUUACACAGCAAUCAAUAACUAAUGCAAAAGAUGUUGAAAUUCUCAUUCACUCAUUGUUUUUUCACUGUCUGUUCUGGGCAUGGGAUUUGAUUGAUCUCACCAUGGAUUCUGAGAAAAGAAGCAGGAUGGAAAGAAUCAGACCUUGGGGGCAACAGUGAGGUCACGCCUCACGAGGGGGCUGAGACUUCACUAGGCAUGGAAUUCCCUUCUGGAUGCCUGUGAUAGAAAAACACUCCUUUAGGCAGAGAGUAGAUGAUCAUCUUAACUGAAUGAGAGAGCUUUAUACAUUUUAAUUCAUAUAGCCCACAGGAAGCAUUAGUAUUAUUCCAUUUCAUAAAAUGAAAAUUGGAGCCUGAGCAGGUCUAUGGGUUCAGGCCAUUCUAUGUAGAACCUUCCCAGCUUUCAGCUCUGCUUUUCCUCUGUUGGUUCAGACUCAGAUGGGGGGUUCCUAUGUAAUGGUCAGUACCACCCCUGUUCCCAGUAGCUCAUACUUAACAAUUAAGUGAUCUUCACAGCAGUGUUAGCCCUCUGCAAGUAAUUCUAGAAAAGAGCCUGGGGACAUUUUCUUGGAUCCACUGGUUUGCUUACCAGCCUGCUCUGCCCACGCUACAGCCAGACUUCUGUCACAUGUCCAGCCAGGUAUAGGGAGGUGGGGAAACCCCAGAUGAACUUCACAGACUGAGUACAGGAGAGAGUCUUUCUAAAGAAAAUUCCAGGUUUGACCACCAGGGUAAAAAACAUUGAUUAAUGUUAAAUAAAAUAAAAAUGACUGAUGGCCAACAGCAUUUCUCCCUUUGUGACGGGAGAAGAGGGAGCCUAGUGGGAGAAGGUCAAAAAGAAACUAGCAGAGUCUUGCAGAGUCUUGCAUUCACUUCACCAGCAUUCUCUAAGUGAUGCUUAAUUAGCCUCUUGCUAGGUCUUAUGGAUAAAUGCAAUAGAGCAGUAAUGUGAACUGGCUUGCCACAUUCAAUCAUCAAAACGUCAGGAAAUUCACAACACAGUUGUUAAAUGCAGCCAUUAUAAAAAUUAAGUGACUUCAUUUUAGAAUAAAAUUAUAUUAAAGUUGUGGCAAUGAGCAUGCAACUCAGGUCACUAGGCAUUUAAGACAAUUUACUUUUAUCCAUAUUAUUUAUAGCUAAUGUACAUGGAGGAGACGGAAACUUCACUGAUAGCUUUAUGGAAAUUUGCCAUACUAUGGUGGCAAUAGAAAUGGCCAGAUGUUACCAUUCCAGGCUUGGGUUUGUCUUUUUCUUGAUCAUGUAAGAGAAAGGGAUGCUAUGUAGCAAGUUUUGUUUUUUUUUUUCUUUUUUACUAGCCAUUGCAUUGUAAAUUGUGCAAAAUAGUAAUACUGUAAGACUCCUUUGGUGUUUGUGAAUUUCUGACAUAGAUAAAAGAAUACAUUUUUGAUG